AUUGCAGUCUAUCUUUUUUCUCUUCUCCUCCAUUAAAUUCCUCAACACCGCGGGACGAGCUCUUCCAUGUCUCCGCUGAAGGUGCGGCCAUCUGCUGCUGCUCCGGCCGGGAGACGCCGCGAGCCUGCGAGCCUAGGCCGGGCGUGGGAGCUCUGUAGCUGGUUACCCCCUUCCCUGCCCACGCCGCAAGGGGGAGGCGCGUUAGUGCAAGGAAGGCGAUGAGGGCCCGCGACUGGGGAGCAGCCAGCCGGGGAUGUUUCAACCGGCGGGGCUGGCGGAGAGUGGGGAUUUCAUGGCGAAGCUGUAAGCACGGCGGCGGUGACGAAGUUCUGCUACAUCCAUUGCCGGAUUUUGCUACGACCGACGACAAUUUUUGCUACAAGGAUUUCACGGCGAAGCUGCAACCACAACGGCGGUGACGAAGUUUUGCUGCAUCCAUUGCCGGAUUUUGCUACGACCGGCGAUGAUUUUUGCUACAACCGGCUAUCGGCGGAGUUGGAACCGAUAGUGCGAGGAGCUACGAGUGGGCAGAUGGGGAUGCUACAACCAUCUGGGUGUGAAACUACAACCCCAAGCGUCCUUUUGCUGGAAGCGACCAACGGCGAUGCUACAACCUUCAUCGACGGAUGCUACAACCGUCAACGGUGGGAGCUACAAGCAGUGAUGGCGAGAUGGAAAGUCGUGACCAUGGAGUCGAUUUUGCUGGGAUGGAGGACGACGGUGGUGGCGGAGCUGCAACGGCGACCGGUGGCGGAGAUGCAAUGGUGUGUCCUCUCUGCAACCACGGGGCGCUCGGGCACGACGACGGCGACUUGUUGCGGUGUGCUGGCACGAGCAACCGACGGCAAGCACGGGUCAUGGGGCGGCCGACGAGCGCUUGUUGCGCGGCUGUGCAGGAGGCCGGCGAGCACCGAUGAGGACGAGCGGUUGCGCUAGACUCUAUCCUCUUUUAUUUUCCUGUGAAUUGAAGAAA